CUUGGUGACCUUGGCGGGGUGGAACCACCCGUUCCCAUCUCGAACACGGUAGUGAAACGCCCCAGCGCAGACGAUACUGAAGGGGCAGCUCUUCGGGAAAAUAUGUCGUUGCCAAGG
rnacentral:rRNA from 1 species